AUUCUCAUCCCAGCAACAUACAUACUAAAUGUGGAAUGAUACAGAAAAAGAUUCUCAAGGCCCUCCACAAGGAUGUCCCACAAAUUCACAAAGUGUUUCUUAUUUUU
rnacentral:snRNA from 1 species